rnacentral:tRNA from 1 species
UCCCUGGUAGUAUAUCGGUUAGUACACGCGCCUGUCAUGCUUCAAGUCGUCAGUCAGUUGCGCGCGAAAGCUGGGUUCGACUCCCAGCCAGGGAG